AAUGCCCUAAGACAAAAGGAGCAGGUAUCAGGCACGAACCAUCAGCCCAAAACGCCUUGCUACGCCACACCCCCACGGGACAUCAGCAGUGACAAAUAUUAGGCAAUAAGCGACACUCAACUCAAAGCUUGACUUAGUUAUAAUCAUACAGGGUCGGCCAAUUUCGUGCCAGCCGCCGCGGUUACACGAGAGACCCAAAACAACGGCCAACGGCGUAAAUUGUGGCUAGAAUACCGCUAUUAAACUAAGAAAUGAACCACUACCUAACCGUAAAACACAGGUAUAAACGAAACCUCUUACACUAAAAGCAAUUUGAACCCACGAAAGCUAAGAAACAAACUAGGAUUAGAUACCCUACUAUGCUUAGCUGUAAACAAGACACAAACCAACAGAAGUGUCCGCCAGAGAACUACAAGCGAAAAGCUUAAAACUCAAAAGACUUGGCGGUGUCCCAUACCCGACUUAGAGGAGCCUGUCCUAUAAUCGAUAAUCCACGAUAAACCCCACCACCUUUUGCCAAAUCCGCCUAUAUACCGCCGUCGAAAACCUACCUUACAAAAGAACAACAGUAGGUACAACAGUUAAAACACUAAAACGUCAGGUCAAGGUGUAGCUAAUAAGGUGGGAGAGAUGGGCUACAUUCUUUAAAUUUAAAGAAAACAGAAAGAACCAUGAAAAAGGUUCCCAAAGGAGGAUUUAACAGUAAACUUGGCAAGAA
rnacentral:rRNA from 1 species